UGGGGAAUAUUGGACAAUGGGCGAAAGCCUGAUCCAGCCAUGCCGCGUGUGUGAAGAAGGUCUUCGGAUUGUAAAGCACUUUAAGUUGGGAGGAAGGGUUGUAGAUUAAUACUCUGCAAUUUUGACGUUACCGACAGAAUAAGCACCGGCUAACUCUGUGCCAGCAGCCGCGGUAAUACAGAGGGUGCAAGCGUUAAUCGGAAUUACUGGGCGUAAAGCGCGCGUAGGUGGUUAGUUAAGUUGGAUGUGAAAUCCCCGGGCUCAACCUGGGAACUGCAUUCAAAACUGACUGACUAGAGUAUGGUAGAGGGUGGUGGAAUUUCCUGUGUAGCGGUGAAAUGCGUAGAUAUAGGAAGGAACACCAGUGGCGAAGGCGACCACCUGGACUGAUACUGACACUGAGGUGCGAAAGCGUGGGGAGCAAACAGGAUUAGAUACCCAGGUAGUCCCUGAGCGGGCUGGCAAGGCGCAU
rnacentral:rRNA from 1 species